rnacentral:rRNA from 1 species
CAGAGGGUGCAAACGUUGUUCGGAAUUACUGAGCGUAAAGCGCGUGUAGGCGGCUUGGCAAGUCGGGUGUGAAAGCCCCGGGCUCAACCUGGGAAGUGCACUCGAAACUGCUUGGCUUGAGUACUGGAGAGGGAAGCGGAAUUCUCGGUGUAGAGGUGAAAUUCGUAGAUAUCGAGAGGAACACCGGUGGCGAAGGCGGCUUCCUGGACAGUUACUGACGCUGAGACGCGAAAGCGUGGGGAGCAAACAGGAUUAGAUACCCUGGUAGUCCACGCCGUAAACGAUGGGUGCUAGGUGUCGCGGGCAUUGACCCCUGCGGUGCCGUAGCUAACGCAUUAAGCACCCCGCCUGGGGAGUACGGCCGCAAGGCUAA